GAGGAGGAAUCUCGCACAGCGAGCGGCCGC
rnacentral:sRNA from 1 species